UGCAUCUCCUUGAAAGCUGUCCCCGAUGGGAUUUCCAGGUACCGCCAGUCUGUGUGUGUCUGUGUGUCUGUCUGUGUGUGUCCGCGUGUGUAUCUUCCUGUGUGUGUGUUGAUUAGUGUGUGGGAGCCCUGUAUGCUGGACAUGAGUGUGGCUGCCACCCGCAGGCCCCCUAAUCACCUGCCGAUCCCUAGGAGUCAAUCCUCCUGAAAGAAGACCAACACAGCACACCCAAAAGCAAACUCUUCCAUGGGCCCUUGGUCCUAUGGCACAUGUAGGGCUGUUACUG
rnacentral:lncRNA from 1 species